rnacentral:rRNA from 1 species
AAUACGUAGGGGGCAAGCGUUGUCCGGAUUUAUUGGGCGUAAAGAGCGUGUAGGCGGCCAGAUAGGUCCGUUGUGAAAACUCGAGGCUCAACCUCGAGACGCCGAUGGAAACCAUCUGGCUAGAGUCCGGAAGAGGAGAGUGGAAUUCCCGGUGUAGCGGUGAAAUGCGCAGAUAUCGGGAAGAACACCCGUGGCGAAGGCGGCUCUCUGGGACGGUACUGACGCUGAGACGCGAAAGCGUGGGGAGCGAACAG